UACGUAGGGGGCAAGCGUUGUCCGGAUUUACUGGGCGUAAAGAGCGCGUAGGCGGUCGUUCAAGUCGCGUGUGAAAGCCCCCGGCUCAACUGGGGAGGGUCACGCGAUACUGAUCGACUCGAAGGCAGGAGAGGGUAGUGGAAUUCCCGGUGUAGUGGUGAAAUGCGUAGAUAUCGAGAGGAACACCUGCGGCGAAGGCGGGUAGCUGGGCCGACACUGACGCUGAGGCGCGAAAGCCAGGGGAGCGAACGGG
rnacentral:rRNA from 1 species